AUUUUUGUUCUCAUUAAUUUCAAAAAACUUCUUGAUUUCCGGCUUAAUUUCAUUAGUUGCUCAGGAGUCAUUCAGGAGCAGGUUGUUCAAUUUCCAUUAGUUGUGUGGUUCUAAGUGAGCUUCUUGAGUUUUAAUUUGAUUUUGCUGUGAUCUAAGAGACUAUCUGUUGUUUUUGAUUAUUUUGCAUUUUCUUAGGAGUGUUUUACUUUUCACUAUGUAAUCAAUUUUAAAGUUCAAUGUGGUGA